rnacentral:tRNA from 2 species
CCAAGUGGAUCAAGGCAGUGGAUUUGU